rnacentral:rRNA from 1 species
ACUGCUCAGUAACACGUAGUCAACAUGCCCAAAGGACGUGGAUAACCUCGGGAAACUGAGGAUAAACCGCGAUAGGUCAUAAGUACUGGAAUGUUUUAUGGCUCAAAUCUACAUGGCCUCUGGAUUGGACUGCGGCCGAUCAGGCUGUUGGUGAGGUAAUGGCCCACCAAACCUGUAACCGGUACGGGCUCUGAGAGGAGGAGCCCGGAGAUGGGUACUGAGACAAGGACCCAGGCCCUAUGGGGCGCAGCAGGCGCGAAACCUCUGCAAUAGGCGAAAGCCUGACAGGGUUAUUCUGAGUGACUUUCGCUAAGAAAGUCUUUUGACAUCUCUAAAAAUGGUGUAGAAUAAGGGGUGGGCAAGUCUGGUGUCAGCCGCCGCGGUAAUACCAGCACCCCGAGUGGUCGGGACGAUUAUUGGGCCUAAAGCAUCCGUAGCCGGUUUUACAAGUCCUCCGUUAAAUCCAACUGCUUAACAGAUGGGCCGCGGAGGAUACUAUAAGACUAGGAGGCAGGAGAGGCAAGCGGUACUCAGUGGGUAGGGGUAAAAUCCGUUGAUCCAUUGAAGACCACCAGUGGCGAAGGCGGCUUGCCAGAAUGCGCUCGACGGUGAGGGAUGAAAGCUGGGGGAGCAAACCGGAUUAGAUACCCGGGUAGUCCCAGCUGUAAACGAUGCAGACUCGGUGAUGGACUAGCUUAAUGCUAGUCCAGUGCCGCAGGGAAGCCGUUAAGUCUGCCGCCUGGGGAGUACGGUCGCAAGACUGAAACUUAAAGGAAUUGGCGGGGGAGCA